GAUGAAAGAACGCAGCGAAAUGCGAUAAGUAGUGUGAAUUGCAGAAUUCAGUGAAUCAUCGAAUCUUUGAACGCACAUUGCGCCCCUUGGUACUCCAUGGGGCAUGCCUGUUCGAGCGUCAUUUACACCCUCAAGCUCAGCUUGGUGUUGGGCGUCUGUCCCGCUUCGUGCGCGGACUCGCCUCAAAUGCAUUGGCAGCGGUCUUGCCAGCUUCUCGCGCAGCACAUUGCGCUUCUAGAGGCUUUGGCGGAUCGGCGUCCAUCAAGUACACCCACAGGUUGACCUCGGAUCAGGUAGGGAUACCCGCUGAACUUAAGCAUAUCAAUAAGCGGAGGA
rnacentral:misc_RNA from 1 species